rnacentral:tRNA from 1 species
GCCUACUGUUUAAUUUUGAAAGUUCUUUACGAACUUUAUAUAUGGGGGUGUAGCUCAGUUGGGAGAGCACUUGCCUUGCAAGCAAGGGGUCAGGAGUUCGACUCUCCUCAUCUCCACCAUUUAAGAGUAUAUUACUUAAAUCUUUGAUUUACUUAGUAGCCUCUUACAAUGCACUUAUAGCUUAAAUUUAUACAGGCUUUGUGCGUUAGCACUUUAAGCAACAGAAUAAACUGAACGCAUGUGAAGUUUGUUUGUUGGCGCUGUGCGUUAGCACUUUAAGCAACGGAAUUUAUUCGUUGGCGCUGUGUGUUAGCACUUUGAAAACUGCAUAUAUAUUUAGUGAUAUGACAUCUAAUUUGUAAUAUAUAAAGCUGAUAACUUUUUAAAAUUAUCGAAGUUGAUAGCUUCUAAUCUAUCAAACCUUUUUAACUGGUCAA